UACGUAGGGUGCAAGCGUUGUCCGGAAUUAUUGGGCGUAAAGAGCUCGUAGGCGGCCUGUUACGUCUGCUGUGAAAUCCCGGGGCUUAACCCCGGGCGUGCAGUGGAUACGGGCAGGCUGGAGGCAGGCAGGGGAGAACGGAAUUCCCGGUGUAGCGGUGAAAUGCGCAGAUAUCGGGAGAAACACCGGUGGCGAAGGCGGUUCUCUGGGCCUGUACUGACGCUGAGGAGCGAAAGCGUGGGGAGCGAACAGG
rnacentral:rRNA from 1 species